rnacentral:rRNA from 1 species
GACGAACGCUGGCGGCGUGCUUAACACAUGCAAGUCGAACGGAAAGGCCCUGCUUUUGUGGGGUGCUCGAGUGGCGCACGGGUGAGUAACACGUGAGUAACCUGCCCUUGACUUUGGGAUAACUUCAGGAAACUGGAGCUAAUACCGGAUAGAAGCACCUGCUACAUGGUGGUGGUUGGUGAGUUUCGGAGUUUGGGGAUGGACUCGCGGCGUAUCAGCUUGUUGGUGGGGUAGUGGCUUACCAAGGCUUUGACGGGUAGCCGGCCUGAGAGGGUGACCGGCCACAUUGGGACUGAGAUACGGCCCAGACUGCUACGGGAGGCAGCAGUGGGGAAUUGUGCACAAUGGGCGGAAGCCUGAUGCAGCAACGCCGCGUGCGGGAUGACGGCCUGCGGGUUGUAAACCGCGUGCGCCUGUGACGAAGCGUGAGUGACGGUAAUGGGUAAAGAAGCACCGGCUAACUACGUG